rnacentral:rRNA from 1 species
AAUACCCGCAUAUUCUGUGAGCAGGAAANCAGGGGGAUCGCAAGACCUUGCGCUGAUUGAGCGGCCGAUAUCAGAUUAGCUAGUUGGUGGGGUAAAGGCCUACCAAGGCUACGAUCUGUAGCGGGUCUGAGAGGAUGAUCCGCCACACUGGAACUGAGACACGGUCCAGACUCCUACGGGGAGGCAGCAGGUGGGUAAUUUGGACAAUGGGGGCAACCCUGAUCCAGCCAUGCCGCGUGAGUGAAGAAGGCCUUCGGGUUGUAAAGCUCUUUCGGCCGGGAAGAAAUCGCAUAGGCUAAUACCCUGUGUGGAUGACGGUACCGGAAUAAGAAGCACCGGCUAACUACGUG